UGUUGUUUCUCCUAUAGCUCAGUGGCGUGUAUGUUUAUGUACGCUGUACACAGCAUAGACAUACACGCGGAUAGCUUAAAAUGCGUACAGAUAACACGCUUGGCUUAAUGUUUACGCAAAGUCAUGAUGUCA